CCCCAGGCCUCACUCGGGGGCUACAGCAGACAUAGGCCCAGUUCUCACCCUUUGCCUCUGCAGCUCAGCUGUCCUCUCCUGAGGACCAGGAUGACCAAGACGACAUCAAGGUGUCUUCCUUUGUCCCGGACCUGAAGGAGCUGCUCCCCAGUGUCAAAGUCUGGUCAGAUUGGAUGCUCGGCUACCCGGACACCUGGAAUCCUCCUCCCACAUCCCUGGAUCUGCCCUCACAUGUUGCUGUGGAUGUAUGGUCGACGCUGGCUGAUUUCUGUAACAUACUGACUGCAGUGAAUCAGUCUGAGGUGCCACUGUACAAGGACCCGGAUGAUGACCUCACCCUUCUUAUCCUGGAAGAGGAUCGGCUUCUCUCGGGCUUUGUCCCCUUGCUGGCUGCCCCUCAGGACCCCUG
rnacentral:lncRNA from 1 species